rnacentral:rRNA from 1 species
UACGGAGGAGGCAAGCGUUAUCCGGAAUUAUUGGGCGUAAAGCGUCCGCAGGUGGCACCUCAAGUCCGCUGUCAAAGACCGGGGCUUAACCCCAGAAAGGCAGUGGAAACUGAAGUGCUAGAGUGCAGUAGGGGUAGAGGGAAUUCCCGGUGUAGCGGUGAAAUGCGUAGAGAUCGGGAAGAACAUCGGUGGCGAAAGCGCUCUGCUGGACUGCAACUGACACUCAGGGACGAAAGC